GAGACUGCAGUGAGGCAGCCCACGAGCCAGGGAUUACAGGCGUGAGCCACCGCGCCCCGCUGAGAACUGCUUUUUAAACAGCCAACUGGGGCCAGACGUGGUGGAUCAUGCCUGUAAUCCCAGCACUUUGGGAGGCCAAGACCGGCAGAUCACCUAAGGUGGCUCACGCCUUUAAUCCCAGCACUUUGGGAGGCCGAGGCGGCUGGAUCAGGAGGUCAGGAGUUCGAGACCAGUCUGGCCAACAAAGUAAACCUGGUCUCUAUUAAACAUACAAAAAAAUUGGCUGAGUGUGCUGGUGUGCGCCUGUAAUCCCAGCUACUUGGGAGGCUGAGGCUGAAGAAUCACUUGAACCCGGGAGGGGGAGGUUGCGGUGAGCCGAGAUCGCGCCAUUGCACUGCAGCCUGGGCAACAAGAGCGAAACUCCGUCUCAAAAAGAAAAAAAGAAAGAAAAAGAAAAGAAAGUAAAAAAGGAGAGAUAACAGGAUGGGGGCAGUAAGCCAGGAGCAAAGAGAAAAAAUGAGAAUGGG
rnacentral:lncRNA from 10 species